UGGUUUCUCUUAUCUAUCCACAUUUUUAUCUGUCUAAAACAUCCUCCUCGUGUUUCUUAUGAAUGAUGAAACUGCUGUUACUGUAAGUAUGUUCAUUACUCCAGCAUGUGUUUCAGAUGACCCAACAUGACUUGAAAGGUGUGUCGAUCUACAUCUGUUUUAGUCUGUUAACUCAAGCAUCUACUUUUAAGAUAAGUGACAGACAAGCCAUUGAUACAGUAGGCCUAAG